rnacentral:rRNA from 1 species
AUGCUUGCUUUGCAUGAAAAAUGCCUUACCCGCCGCUAUUUUAUUCAACGCCUCGAUUUCCUGGAGGGCCUUGUGGGCUUCGGCCUUAGCGGCUUUGGCACUCUCAAGAGCCGAUGCAAGCUCGAGUCUUCGAGUCGCGCUCCAAACUCUCAUGUUUUUCCACGAGAGCCUGGAGCUCUUGCUGCACCUCCACCACCCGCGCCUCCUACUUCUCUCGCCCAGCAUGCUCCGUGGGCCGUAUUACGUUCGGCCGCAGACAUCGCCUCCUUCAGGGUUGCCACCUCGUUCGUGGCCCCUGGAGUACCCAUGUUAUCCUUGUCAUUCCUCUUGCAACCAAAUCCUUUUCUGUAA